rnacentral:rRNA from 1 species
UACGUAGGGUGCAAGCGUUGUCCGGAAUUAUUGGGCGUAAAGAGCUCGUAGGCGGUUUGUCGCGUCGAAUGUGAAAGCCCCGGGCUUAACCUGGGAACUGCGUUUGAUACGGAUGGGCUAGAGUUCGGGAGAGGAGAGUGGAAUUCCCAGUGUAGAGGUGAAAUUCGUAGAUAUUGGGAAGAACACCGGUGGCGAAGGCGGCUCUCUGGACCGAGACUGACGCUGAGGCGCGAAAGCGUGGGGAGCGAACAGG